AGCGAACGCUGGCGGCAGGCCUAACACAUGCAAGUCGAACGAACCUUUCGGGGUUAGUGGCGGACGGGUGAGUAACACGUGGGAACGUGCCUUUAGGUUCGGAAUAACUCAGGGAAACUUGUGCUAAUACCGAAUGUGCCCUUCGGGGGAAAGAUUUAUCGCCUUUAGAGCGGCCCGCGUCUGAUUAGCUAGUUGGUUGAGGUAAUGGCUCACCAAGGCGACGAUCAGUAGCUGGUCUGAGAGGAUGAUCAGCCGCAUUGGGACUGAGACACGGCCCAAACUCCUACGGGAGGCAGCAGUGGGGAAUCUUGCGCAAUGGGCGAAAGCCUGACGCAGCCAUGCCGCGUGAAUGAUGAAGGUCUUAGGAUUGUAAAAUUCUUUCACCGGGGACGAUAAUGACGGUACCCGGAGAAGAAGCCCCGGCUAACUUCGUG
rnacentral:rRNA from 1 species